CCAUUGCUCAGUUGGUAAAGCACAAGGCUCUUAACCUUGUGUGCGUGGGUUCAGGCCCCAUGGUGGG
rfam:Triticum aestivum genome assembly, contig: Triticum_aestivum_CS42_TGACv1_scaffold_374718_5AL